AUUACAGCUAAAAGUUGACACUGAAGAAGAAAUUGUUUUAUUUUUCAAGGGUCAUAAUAUGAAAGAGGUGAGUGUGGAGCUGGAAAUGGAAUUCAAAUGACAAGCUCGAGAUGUCAAAGUUCCAAUCACACAUCUUUUCAAACAGCACUCACAAUGAAGACCAGCAGAAAGGGAAUGGAAAUGUUCU